GCCCGGGUGGCUCAGUGGGUUAGGCAUCUGACUUCGGCUCAGGUCAUGAUCUCACAGUUCGUGGGUUUGAGCCCCACAUCGGGCU
rnacentral:tRNA from 1 species